rnacentral:rRNA from 1 species
ACCAGACUCCUACGGGAGGCAGCAGUGGGGAAUAUUGCACAAUGGGGGAAACCCUGAUACAGCGACGCCGCGUGAGCGAUGAAGUAUUUCGGUAUGUAAAGCUCUAUCAGCAGGGAAGAAGAUGACGGUACCUGACUAAGAAGCCCCGGCUAACUACGUGCCAGCAGCCGCGGUAAUACGUAGGGGGCAAGCGUUAUCCGGAUUUACUGGGCGUGAAGGGGGCGCAGGCGGCGCGCCAAGCCCGAUGUGAAAGCCCGGGGCUCAACCCCGGGACUGCAUUGGGAACUGGCGUGCUGGAGUGCCGGAGGGGCAGGCGGAAUUCCUGGUGUAGCGGUGAAAUGCGUAGAUAUCAGGAGGAACACCGGUGGCGAAGGCGGCCUGCUGGACGGAUACUGACGCUGAGGCCCGAAAGCGUGGUGAGCGAACAGGAUUAGAUACCCGCGUAC